UACGUAGGGUGCGAGCGUUGUCCGGAAUUAUUGGGCGUAAAGAGCUCGUAGGCGGUGUGUCGCGUCGGCCGUGAAAACCUGCAGCUUAACUGUGGGCUUGCGGUCGAUACGGGCAUCACUGGAGUUCGGCAGGGGAGACUGGAAUUCCUGGUGUAGCGGUGAAAUGCGUAGAUAUCUGGAGGAACACCGGUGGCGAAGGCGGCGUUCUGGACUGCAACUGACACUGAGGAACGAAAGCCAGGGGAGCAAACGGG
rnacentral:rRNA from 1 species